rnacentral:rRNA from 1 species
AGGACGAACGCUGGCGGCGUGCCUAACACAUGCAAGUUGAGCGACGAACCAGGGCUUGCCCUGGGGCAAAGCAGCGAACGGGUGAGUAACACGUGGGUAACCUGCCCCGAUAACCGGGACAACCCGAGGAAACUCGGGCUAAUACCGGAUGUGCUCGUCAGACUCAAGUCUGACGCGUAAAGGAAGCUUCGGCCUCCGUAUCGGGAGGGGCCCGCGGCCCAUUAGUUAGUUGGUGAGGUAACGGCUCACCAAGACCGCGAUGGGUAGCUGGUCUGAGAGGACGAUCAGCCACACUGGGACUGAGACACGGCCCAGACUCCUACGGAGGCAGCAGUGGGGAAUCUUGCACAAUGGGCGAAAGCCUGAUGCAGCAACGCCGCGUGCGGGAAGAAUGCCUAGGUUGUAAACCGCUUUCAGCAGGGAAGAAACAAGACGGUACCUGUAGAAGAAGGUGCGGCCAACUACGUGCCAGCAGCCGC